CCUUACGGCCAUACCACCUUAGGCACGCCCGAUCUCGUCUGAUCUCGGAAGCUAAGCAGGGUCGGGCCUGGUUAGUACUUGGAUGGGUGACCGCCUGGGAAUACCAGGUGCUGUAAGCA
ensembl:rRNA 5S_rRNA 5S ribosomal RNA